ACUCCACAACAGCUGUGACUAGUACACUUUGGGAAAAUUUCAGUCUCGGUAAGCAUACGGAGCUCAAGUUUGUGGAAACCCAAAUGGAAUCUGAGGGAGAUGAAGACACCCAUCAACCCCCAAAAUGGAGUAGACCUACAAAACAAGCUCAAUUUUCUUCAACUUCAGAGAAAGAUUCCUUCUUGACAAUUCCUGUUCUUCCAGAAGAACUCAUCACUGAAAUCCUCUUAAGGCUUCCAGUGGAACCCCUUUUGAAAUUCAGGUCUGUUUCGAAGUCUUGGCUUGCUUUGAUCUCUAGCCCUGAAUUUGUCAAGAGCCAUCUUAGUGUAUCUGCUAAUAACAAAGAUUACACUCACCACAGGGUGAUGCGUAGUUUUAGAGGUACAUUAGAUCUUAAAGAUUAUACUCUUAGUUCUUUAUUUUCUGAGUCUGUUACGGAGGUAUUUGACUUGAAUUAUCGCAUGACAUCUGAUGGAUUGUAUAACGAAUGGCCUCACUCUGUAAUGAUUCUAGGUUCCGUAAAUGGAUUGAUUUGUCUUGUGGGUGAGAGAUAUGAUUUGUUUCUAUGGAAUCCAUCAAAUAGAAAGUACAAGAAAUUGCCUGAUCCUACAUCUACAAUGUGGUUUGAGCAAGGGCGAAUUUAUGGUUUUGGAUAUGAUGAGUUUCAUGAUGACUAUAAGCUAGUGGAUGGCUUUUGUAGUGAUGACAAAUCCGGUCUAGGUGGGCUCAAAAUAUAUAGUUUAAAUAGUGAUUCUUGGGGAAGUGUUGAUGAUCGUCAAAGUCAGGACGAAAUCGAUGUUUCAGGUAAGUUUGUGAAGGGGAAACUUCACUGGCCUACAGCUACUGUUGAUCAUCUAAUUAUUAACUACAAGGAUUGGAAUAUCAUUUCUUUUGAUUUGGCUAAUGAGAAAUGGGGAGAAGUGGAGCAUCCUUGCUAUAGAGAGGGAGAUAUUGCUUUGAUCCUGGGAGUGUUAGGAAGUGAUCUUUCUGUUUUUUGUGAUUAUAGUAGCUCUCAUGUAGAUGUUUGGGUCAUGAAAGAGUAUGGGGUUAAAGAAUCUUGGACAAAAAUGUUUACCAUCAAUUAUCCUGAUCAUCUAGUUGGGUAUGGUCAUGCACUUUCUCGGCCUUCUUUCAUUUCAAAUAAAGGUGAGAUUUUGGUCGUGUUUAUUUCAGCUUCUGUGAUAUGCAACCCGAAGGAUGCUUCAUUAAGAUAUUCAAAGGCUAUCAACUUUUAUGACUAUCCUAAGGUAGCACUCUAUGUUGAAAGUCUAGUUUGUCCUUUUUCUAGAUAAGGUGUUACGGAUGCAACAAAAGACAAAAGGCUGAAAAAGCUCAGAUCAAGAAAACCGAGUAACAAAUAACUUUUUUUAUUUUGUCCUUGCUCCUACAGUCGUAGUUACUAGCUGUGUUUUUCUUCAGAUGGAGUACUCAUAAAGAGGACCAGGGACAUGGAAAUAAUGGCAGCAGAAUGUGCCUAAUCCUUGCUGGGGUAGUGUUUGAUCUCGGGUGUACUUUUACUUGUCUUCUUAGGUGAAACUUAAUAGGGAAAAAGACGGAUUUAAAUCUUUGUUUAAGAUGAUGCUGUCUUCUAAUUACUGAAGUUCAACUCUUUUCGUCUUUGUUAUUUUAAAUAAGAUGUGUCCCUGCUAUAAAGAAUUCUCUAUCUUGUUGCCAAAUAGUGUAGCAAAUUGUAUCUGUAACUUGACUUUUCUAAGAACUCUCAAGUGCUAUGGUGAUGUAUUACCAAGUAAGAAAUUAAUAGCCUUGUUUAAUGCAUUUUACGGAAGGUCUAUUUUGUCUGAUAUCAAUGUACUAGCAUGAUUGUGUGACUUCUGACCGAAGUCAAUGUAGCCGAGUAUGUACUAACAAGGAAAUUUUGCUAAUCCUUUUAGGAAAAUCAUUUCAAGAAUUUGGUACAUAUGGAUUAACUAAUUCUUGUGGUUCACUUUGUUGAUUUCAAUCCUUUGUCUGACACUAAUUUGAGGGAACAAUACGAGGGACAAAUGUUUACUCAGUAACUGAGAGAACAAUAAGAGGGGUGAAAUGAGUCGUAACUGAGGUAACUUUAAUUGUACAUUUUGUGGAAACAAUACGAGGGACAAAUGUUGAAAAGCCAAAAGGUUUGUGUGUGGAAAUUCUUGCGAGUUAGAUUUUAUGAAGCUGUGGAGGGUCAUGCUUUCUGUGAAGUGCUCCAGCUCUGAAUCAAAUUACCCAUUUUGGGCGGGUCAAUAUGUUACAUGGGGAUCAACAUGAGUAUAUCUUGUGACCCUUUCUUAAGUUUUUAUUUUCUUUUGCUAUUUUUAAAUAGACUACGCCAAACCAUUUGUGCACCGUUUUCAUGCAGUGUAGACUUGAGAUUACUUAACUACCUUAUUUUUGUUCAUCUUCACUAUUUAGAAUGUGAACUGAAGCACCUUUGAUAUUUUUCAAAUGUUGGGAAAUGGAGCUCGUCUCUUUGCUCAAAUAAGGCCAGCUUGUGUUUAGUACAUGUUAAAUGUAAAAUGUGCCGGAGCUAGCUCUUCAUGUGUUGCUUUCUAGAUCUACCUUGCUUUUACUUAUCAUAUGAGAUGUCAGUGAGGUUUUUUUGCAAUUUUUUCU